rnacentral:lncRNA from 1 species
GCCGUUUAUCCACCUUUUACGUUUCCUGGGCGGCACUCCGACCCCACCCAUUCCGUCCCCGUCCUCAACACCAGGACCACACACCAGGUUUUCCACUGGAGCCCCUCUCAUGAAACCUGAGUGGAAAGUAACAGAGAUUCUCCCCUCCCCUGGAAAUCUCUCCCAAAGAAACUCAUGAAUUAUCUUCUCAUCAUUCUGCUCUCUUCUUAGAGCCUUGCUCUGUCCACGGGGGUCGAGGGCCCAGGAAUUGGUGCCGACCAUCUCCUUUGUACAUUCUUCCUACGCAGUGGUUUCACAGUCACUCUUAGUCGCUGAAAUACGUACCCAUACAACUUUGUUUAUUGGUUUAUGGGGUGCUCCCUUUUCUGUGUGUAAGUAGCAUCCUACCAUAUAUACGGAAACUUUUUUUCACUCUACAGUGUGUCCUGGAGAUCCUUUAAACACAGGACCUAGCAUCCUAUCUUGUACUUUUGUAACUGCUACCUUGAAGUCCCUAGGAAAGAUCCUCCAUAGUUCAUUCAAUGAUCCUAGUGAUGAAUGUUAUGGUCCUUCCGGUAUUUCGCUGCUGCAAAUGAUCUGAAGUCGACUUCCUCAUACACAUUUUCUUGUGCACAGGGGCAAUUAUUUCUCUGGAUUAGAAAAAGGUAGGUGGGAUUGCCGAGUCAAAGUCUACGUGCUUUUAAGCGUUUGACUGAGUCAGUCAGAUGCUCUGUACUGUGGUUGCUUCGCUUCCUAUUCCCUCCCAUCAGCAGUGUUUUAGGGUGCUCUUUAGCCCACUUCCACCAAUCAAGGUGUUCUUUUGCUUCCCAAUGCCAUGUGCCGUUGUUGCAGAUAUACACUCGUAUCUAUUAACCAAGCGGAUUGAUGAAUUCCUUUGCCCGAAUGCAGUCAACGAUACUCAGCCUUCAUCUCCUCCUCUUUGUAAAAGUGUACCUUCCAGUACAUCAGAAAUUCGAAAACAUUCAGAACAAAUGAGACUUUUACACUUCCCUAGAGGCAAAGUUCUGGGUACAAAUUAGGUCCUGCCAGUGAGAUGCAUUCAUUGGAAAUCUGAAGUCGGCAAUGAGGUCGAGGCCUCUUCCUGCUGCUUUAGGAGUUGUUUCUGAUGUUGUGUAUGAUUAUGGGGUAUAGUGUUUUCUCCCAAGAAAUAGUCCAAUCUCCUGAUUUGUGGGUGGUCAGAAUGCCAGUGACUUUGGGAUACUAGCUACUUGAUCCUGGAUCCUAUGUGUACUGGCAUUUUCUUGGGCUCAGUACCUCCUGAUUUUCCAUCUCCUUGGCUGGAACAGUUGGGAAAGCUUCCCUGGUGGCUCAGUUCUUCAGUGUUCUUGGUAUCAUGCUUGAAGACCUAGCCCACAGCCCAGUCCUCCAGUCCUUCCACCCAUUCCUAAGCCCCUAAUUCCUCAUAUUAAGUCCCAUUCUGCAUAAAAUUCCUGUGGUGGUCUCUGCUUCCUGUAGUUGAACCCUGACCGAUACUUGCUGCAUAGCAUCUGAUUUUACUUCUCGUCACAGGCAAUGGCCCCAUUGAGCCAUGACUGAUGGCCUCACUUUCCUGUUGGUAGACCAGGUAGUGAAACUCUUGGUAUUCAGUAUGAUGGAUUCCACAAAAACAGUAUUUUGCUGAGCUUCAGCUGCUGGAGCUAAUAGAUGACUGUCAAGGGGUCCAGCAGCAUGGGCAGGUGAGAAUCUGGGGAUCGGAGAUACAUGAAACACAGCCAGUAUUCAAUGCACGAAUCAUUCGGUUUGCUGCACACAAUUAGCACACAACACAAAUUAGUCGAAGUAGGGAAAAUAAAAAAGGGGGCCAUGAGCCACUCCAAGAAGAAGUCUAGGAAGGAGGCAGCUCAGCUGAGAGUGGUCUCUGGUCCUGUGGCGGUUUUCCCAGCAGGCAUGAAUGGGAAGUUGCCUUCGGCCCCCAGACAGCACUCAGCAGCGUGGAGUCAGGUCCUCCAGCAAAGGGCAUUCAGGUCACUCGACUCAGGGGUCUCAUUUUAAGGAGUCUCGACCUUGACCUUACACUCGAGGGUCUUGUCUCUCUCAGUUGCCUUCUAUUCCAGGGAAGUCUUCCUGGACAAACACUCUUAGUUUAUCAUUCUAAGACACUCACAGUCCUAUCCCAAAGGUUUCAAAACAAGUAACGCACAAGUUUGCAUUGACCACUGUGCCUCCAUUUUGAACUACGUAACAGAGCUUAGUUUAAAUCCUAUAAUUUUCACAGAGGAGGUGUAGGAAUCAUAACAUGAAAGAAAUCACAUCAUAACAGAUGUUAGGAGCCCCAAGCUUCAAUUCUGUAGCUCGUGUUCUGGUCUUGGCUCUGGAUUUUACCAGCCCAUGAGCUUAAUUAAAUCCAUUACCACUUCUGGGACUGAAUUUCCUGGACUUUAAAAGUUUCCAAAAUGAAAUAAAAUAAAAUAUUCCAGAUGGCUUUUAAGGCCAUUUUAACUCAAAGACUUUAUAAUCCUAUGCACUUCUUAUCUGAACCUAAUCAUGAAAUGGUUAACUGCUGGAUGACAUCAUAAACCACUAAGAAUUAAAAACCUUGCAAAUGACAUGUUUGCUUCCCUUCUUCUUUGUUCUGCUUGUCAGUCUGAGGUGCUAAGGUUUCUGUGUUCUGUCUGCUUUCUUUUGUUUUGUCUUCCAUUAAUAGUAAAUUGACAUAAAAUUGCAGUUCCAGAGAAUUAGAGGUGUUGCUAUGGAAACAGCCUGGACUCAUUGAUGUAAACCUUAGGCUGUUGAUGCUCUUCUCUGAGGUACUAGUAAAAAAGAAAACACAAGACAAAUGUUACAGUAAGAAUGACAUUUUGCUUUUGGGGGAAGGGGCCCCCACUCUAAAGGCUGAAUCUGAAAGUAUGUGCAGGCGUUAUGGCAGGGUUUUGGAGAGACCCCAGGUCUAGUGAUGCUCUGACCCAGCAGUGGACAUGAUGUAGCAAGACUGCAAUGUGGGUGUCAGUCCUCUGCCUGCACCCGGGUUACAGAAGAUGCUCAAAACUCAUUAUGAUUAACGUGCAGUAAAAAAUACCUCCACUUCAGUCUUAUUGGUCAUGGCUCAAAAUUGUCCCCCUUUUUGGGACCCAGUGAAAUUCCUCUUCCCUUUCAAAAUACUUUACGUUCAGAAUGAAAAUUUCCUAUUGUUGGCCUCUUCCUUCCUUCCUUCCUUCCUUCCUUCCUUCCUUCCUUCCUUCCUUCUUUUCUUCCCACCCUCUCUUUCUUUCUUUUUAAAAAACUGAAUUACAAUAUAUAUGUAUAAUAAAAUGCACUCACUUUCUGCUUGAUGAAUUUGGCCAAUGGUGUAUAUAGUCAUUUAGCUUCCACAGAAAUCAGAUAGAACGACUCCGUCGUCCUGAGACUCUCCCCCUGUCCCUUUUCAGUAGAUUCUCUCCACGCUGAUCCCCAGCCCCAGACGAGCACUCAUCUGCUUUCUGUCAGAAUAGAUUUACCUUUAGUAGAACUUCAUGUAAAUGGAAUCAAACAGCAUGGAGGCUUUUGUGUUUGACUUCGUUCACCUAAAAUAAUAUUUCUGAACCUCAUUCAUGUGGUCGGAUAUAUUACUUCAUUCCUUUUUUCUUGCUCAUCCAUAAUAUGGAUCUCUCACAAUUUGUUUAUCCACUUGCUGACAGAAAUAGAUGCUGUGAUGCUGUUUCCAGUUUCUGGCAAGAAUAAAGAACGCUGCUACAUACCAGUCCUUGUGUGGCAUAGAUGGUAUUGAAUCACUACCUCAGAGCAGGAUUGCUGGGUGGUAUGGUAAGGGUAAAAAGUGUUUCAACUUUAAAACAAACCAUCAAGCAGUGUCCAAAGUGGCCAGACCAUUUUGCAAUGUCUGAGAGCCCUAUGUCCUCGCAGCAAUAGGCAUCCCCCCUGAUCUCUGUACGUGUCUUGGGUCUUGUUGUGAACAAGCCCUGAUUUAUAAACCAUACUUUGCGCCAGUGCUAUUCUAAGCCUUUCACAGGACACUGUCCAUGAUCCCAAGCAGAAUCUGAAACAUCGUCACCAACCAGAACCACAGGACCUCGUGCAAAACUCUCCUUGGAUUAAGAAAAUGAAAAUUAUGCAAGUCUUACAUAAUCAGUGGGUCAGCAGGUAUGAAGUCCUCUCUAAAGGGUUGAUUCAAAGGAAAUAAAUAAUUAUGAGAGGAAUUACUGGGCUUUGGGGUUAAGAACCUGCUGGACAUUGAGAUACCUGAUUUAUCACCCUCAUCACAACACACUUUCUAAAAUAAUUCAGGAAAUCAGUUGCAAAUUGCAACUGCCCUGUGGAUUAAAUGCAUUAGUUUGCUGUUGCAUUCUAGAAGUUUUAUUAACCGAGGUGUCUAAGUGGCUCCUGAUCAGGAUGGUAGGGAGCUCCCUGGUGGCCUUGUGGUUAAGGAUUUGUUGUCACUUCUGUGGCUUGAGUUGGAUCCCAAGGGCGGCAACUUCCGCAUGCCUUGGGGAUGGCCCAAAGGAUGGUAAAAGGUUUCCCUGAAUCCUUAAGCCCCAGAGAUGUGGGGCCUUCAUAGUUGAGCCAUCAUCGGCUACCUCCUUAUCACAGGGACCACUUCACCCCAGGCCAACCCCUCUCUCCUCUUCUAUUCAAGGGCUGCAAUUAGAAAUAGUACUUUAUUCUAUUUCAAAGUAGCUUAUGUUUCUGAUUAUAAAAAAUAAAACAUAACAUGAAAGUGAAAAAAAAAAAACACAGAAAGCCUGAAGAAAAAAGCUCAAGUGAAUCAAAGCACCAUCUCUCAGAGAUGAAAGAUGCUAAAUUCAUGAAUAUUCUUCCAUAUUGUUUUCUGUGCCUAUACAGACACACACUCUUUAUGCACAAAUUUAUGUAACACUAUUUUCAUGAAUUGCAGCACACUCAAGCUGAAUUUAACUUAUUUCCUUUUAUUCAAGGUAUUUGUAGACUUCUUUCCAACUUAAAAUUGUAUAUCCCAUCAUCAUUUGUAAUGAUUACAUAGUGUCCUAGUUAACAAGUUUAGUUAACUUGUUUUCCAUUGAUGGAUAUUUUUAACAAUUAGACAGAGUCAGAGCAGUGCAGAUGGACAUGCUGUGAGCUUAUUUAUAGGGAGGCUCUCUAUCCGCUUCUAGUCUAUUUUCUUAUAGUACAAAUAAGAGAACACUUGGUAUGUAGGUGAUAAGCUCUCCGAACAUAGGCACCGAACACUCUUGGAGACACACCAGGCUGUGUAAAGGCUUGUCUGACAUCAUCAACCGUAAGCUCCUGGCAAGCCUUUAAGAAACAGGAUUCAAGCUGCCAGAGGGAAGGGAGCCCUCAUUCCUUUGAGAAGCUGAAUUUCCAGGCAGCUAGGCACAGGGAGUCGCUGAUUAGACAACUCUGCCUGGCUCUCUCCACAGGCUCGUUGUCCUGAAGACUCAGAGGAAGAUCCUGUCUAAUAGAGAUCUGCUUCUGGUAAAAAUGUUAAACUACCAAAGGAUCACUCCCGGGGCUAGAGGGCCAAGCUUGCCUUGCUACUUCCCUUGUGGUCUGGAGUGACCUUCCAUCAAAUUUGUGGUCUGUCUCAUCUUGACUCAGCCUAGCUUGCAAAUUCCAUCUUGCAAAAUCCUCCUUUGCAUGUUGGAAGCUUAUCUUUAAUUCUUACUCUCCCAUUGCAUUUUUGCUGUUAUAAUCUUAACACUCCCGCAGUCCCUGCCUGCGAUGCCCAACUGGGGAGAAGGUGGCAUAAGACAGAAGCGCAUCAAGGAAGGUACACUGACAUUUUCCAAAAUAAGUUUCUUUUGGCAUCCUUCAAAGAAUAAAUUUGUAAGAUGUUUUAAAGUAAUUGCUGUUGUUAUAAAGCAUUUAAGUAACAUAGCGUUCCCUAAAAACUAACCCCUAAUAUAAAGUUCCAAUUUCACUCUGCUUGAAAAAUCAUCAUGGCUUCCCAAAGCUUGCAGUGUAAAGACCUUAUCCUGUAUGAUAAAAAGACAAUUUAUAUUCUGACCAGCCACCUCUCUUCCCUCAUUUUCCACCUUAUCACGGACACUAGAGAAAAAUAUAACCGUAACAAACUUCUCAAAAUAUCCCUCCAAUGGCUCAGGAUAUUUUAUCACUUUGUGAUGCAACUCAAAUGUCUGUCUUUACCUAGAGUAGGGCGUCUCAACCCUGACUGUCCAUUAGCACCAUCUGGAGCACAUCUAAACAAUUUAUGCUUAUUUAUAUUUUAAAUUUUAAAAUGUUACAUACCGGAGUUCCCGUCAUGGCGCAGUGGUUAACGAAUCCGACUAGGAACCAUAAGGUUGCGGGUUCGGUCCCUGCCCUUGCUCAGUGGGUUAACGAUCCGGCGUUGCCGUGAGCUGUGGUGUAGGUUGCAGACGCACUCGGAUCCCGCGUUGCUGUGGCUCUGGCGUAGGCCGGUGGCUGCAGCUCCGAUUGGACCCCUAGCCUGGGAAUGUCCCUAUAUGCCGCGGGAGCGGCCCAAGAAAUAGCAACAACAACAACAACAACAACAACAACAAAAGACAAAAAAAAAA